UGGGAUUGAGACACGGCCCAGACUCUUACGGGAGGCAGCAGUAGGGAAUCUUCCGCAAUGGACGAAAGUCUGACGGAGCAACGCCGCGUGAGUGAUGAAGGUUUUCGGAUCGUAAAGCUCUGUUGUUAGGGAAGAACAAGUGCAAGAGUAACUGCUUGCACCUUGACGGUACCUAACCAGAAAGCCACGGCUAACUACGUGCCAGCAGCCGCGGUAAUACGUAGGUGGCAAGCGUUGUCCGGAAUUAUUGGGCGUAAAGGGCUCGCAGGCGGUUUCUUAAGUCUGAUGUGAAAGCCCCCGGCUCAACCGGGGAGGGUCAUUGGAAACUGGGAAACUUGAGUGCAGAAGAGGAGAGUGGAAUUCCACGUGUAGCGGUGAAAUGCGUAGAGAUGUGGAGGAACACCAGUGGCGAAGGCGACUCUCUGGUCUGUAACUGACGCUGAGGAGCGAAAGCGUGGGGAGCGAACAGGAUUAGAUACCCUGGUAGUCCACGCCGUAAACGAUGAGUGCUAAGUGUUAGGGGGUUUCCGCCCCUUAGUGCUGCAGCUAACGCAUUAAGCACUCCGCCUGGGGAGUACGGUCGCAAGACUGAAACUCAAAGGAAUUGACGGGGGCCCGCACAAGCGGUGGAGCAUGUGGUUUAAUUCGAAGCAACGCGAAGAACCUUACCAGGUCUUGACAUCCUCUGACAACCCUAGAGAUAGGGCUUUCCCUUCGGGGACAGAGUGCCACGGU
rnacentral:rRNA from 1 species